UAAGAUUGCGAUGAGGAUAACAAGCUCCCUCUUCUGAUUUAAAGUUGAGGACAAUCGCUGGCAGAAUCGAACCUAAUUAUUAAUCGCCACCACUGAGUAA
rnacentral:snoRNA from 1 species